UGGUUCUGGCAUCGAUGAAGAACGCAGCGAAAUGCGAUAAGUAAUGCGAAUUGCAGAGCAGUGAGUCAUCGAAUCUUUGAACGCACAUUGCGCCCUUUGGCAUUCCGGAGGGCAUGCCUGUCCGAGCGUCAUUAACAACCCUCAAGCACGGCUUGAUGUUGGACCUGUUGUUCGACUUUGUUGGACGGGUCCCAAAGACAAUGGCGGUGUCGUGUUGGACCCCUGAUGCAACGAGCUUUCACAAGCACGCAUUGCGGUGGCCGACCGACCUUAUCCUCACUAUUUUUCUCAGUGUUGACCUCGGAUCAGGUAGGAAUACCCGCUGA
rnacentral:misc_RNA from 1 species